CUGUUUUAAAAGGAUCAUUUUGUGACCUACAUGGCACAAAAUCGACCUCUAACCUCUAGCAUUUAACAUCUUCUGUGUACUCCAGAGUGUAGAUUGGGGCAUUUCACAUCUGGGUGUCUGAAUACCUCCCCUUGUGAGGCAUAAAUAUGAAAACAAGAAAAUGUUCAGCAAAUAGGUCCAGUUUAUCUAUGGGACAAAAGGAG